rnacentral:rRNA from 1 species
GUGGGGAAUAUUGGUCAAUGGGCGGAAGCCUGAACCAGCCAUCCCGCGUGGAGGAAGACGGCCCUAUGGGUUGUAAACUUCUUUUCAAGGGGAAGAAAGUUCGCGACGUGUCGCGAUUUGCCGGUACCUUUGGAAUAAGCAUCGGCUAACUCCGUGCCAGCAGCCGCGGUAAUACGGAGGAUGCGAGCGUUAUCCGGAUUUAUUGGGUUUAAAGGGUGCGUAGGCCGAUCGAUAAGUCAGCGGUGAAAUACCAUGGCCCAACCAUGGAACUGCCGUUGAUACUGUCGGUCUUGAAUAUGGUCAAGGUAGGCGGAAUGUGUAAUGUAGCGGUGAAAUGCUUAGAUAUUACACAGAACACCGAUUGCGAAGGCAGCUUACUGGUCCAUUAUUGACGCUGAGGCACGAAAGCGUGGGGAUCGAACAGGAUUAGAAACCCCGGUAGUCC